AUGCCGCGUGCAGGAAGAAGGCCCUAUGGUUGUAAACUGCUUUUGUCAGGGAGUAAAUGGGCUUGCGAGCCUAAUUGAAGGUACCUGGCGAAUAAGCCACGGCUAACUACGUGCCAGCAGCCGCGGUAAUACGUAGGUGGCAAGCGUUGUCCGGAUUUAUUGGGUUUAAAGGGUGCGUAGGCGGUCUUAUAAGUCAGUGCUGAAAUAUCCCGGCUUAACCGGGAGGGUGGCAUUGAUACUGUAGGACUUGAGUAAAGUUGAGGUUGGCGGAAUUGACGGUGUAGCGGUGAAAUGCUUAGAUAUCGUCAAGAACACCUAUAGCGAAGGCAGCUAACUAAGCUUUAACUGACGCUGAGGCACGAAAGUGCGGGGAUCAAACAGGAUUAGAUACCCUGGUAGUCCACACUGUAAACGUUGAUUACUCGCUGUUGGCGAUACACAGCCAGCGGCUUAGCGCAAGCGAUAAGUAAUCCACCUGGGGAGUACGCCGGCAACGGUG
rnacentral:rRNA from 1 species